rnacentral:rRNA from 1 species
AACGAACGCUGGCGGCAGGCUUAACACAUGCCAGUCGAACGCCCCGCCAGGGGAGUGGCCGACGGGUGAGUAACACGUGGGAACAUGCCCAAAGGUACGGAAUAUUCUCGGGAAACUGAGAGCAAUACCGUAUGUGCCCGAAAGGGGAAAGAUUUAUCGCCUUUGGAUUGGCCCGCGUCGGAUUAGCUAGUUGGUGGGGUAAAAGCCUACCAAGGCGACGAUCCGUAGCUGGUCUGAGAGGACGACCAGCCACACUGGGACUGAGACACGGCCCAGACUCCUACGGGAGGCAGCAGUGGGGAAUCUUGGACAAUGGGCGCAAGCCUGAUCCAGCCAUGCCGCGUGGAUGAUGAAGGCCCUAGGGUUGUAAAAUCCUUUCGUUGGGGACGAUAAUGACGGUACCCAAAGAAGAAGCGCCGGCUAACUUCGUG